UAUAUAUAUAGUAUUGUUAUAAAUUAAAUUUAAUUAAAAAGUUGUAUAACCAUUAAUUUAUAGUUUUAUAACAAAAAAAAAAAAAAAAAAAAAGUUUAAUUUUUGCUCUAUUAAAAUUUUAUAUUUAUUUAACAUAUGAGCAUGGUGUUAUUCUUUGUAAAGUAGAUCUUUUUAUUGAGAUAGUUCUAUAUAUUGAAAAUAUUUUAAUCAGUUAAUUAUGUAACAGCGGUUAAAUUUGUGCCAGCAGCUGCGGUUAUACUUUUACUGUUAAUUUUUAUUUAGCUUUUUUACUAAGAUUAUAAUUUAGGUGAAAUAAAUUGUGAAUAAAGUUGUUAAUAUGUUAGAACAGGAUUAGAUACCCUGGUAUAUACUCUGUAAGGUUAGUAUAAAUUAGAUAGUUUGGCGGCUUACUUAAAUUAGAGGAACUUGCGCUUAAUAGAUAAGACUCUAUUUUUCUUACUAAGCUUAUGUAUACCGUUAUUUAGGUAAUCUUAAAAUGGAUGGCGGGGUUCAAGAUACUAGAUCAAGGUGCAGAUAUUUGUACGAGUUAGUUAGUUACAAUAAAUAGUAUUAAACGUGAUAUUUUGAGAGAUUAAAGUAGGUGGAUUUAAAUGUAAAUUCUAAAUUUUAAUUGGCUUAGUUGUAUGUGUACAAAUCGCCCGUCACUCUCUUUGGGAUAAGUCGAAACAAAGUAGGCACUCUGGAAAGAAUGCCU
rnacentral:rRNA from 1 species